UUGUCGGGGUCUUGGAAGAAGCAAAACUGGAAGAUUGUCCUGAUUGAAUUUGACUAUUUCUCAAUACUGUCAACUCUGCCAAAAACCUCAGCAAAGAAUGUAAUUACCUUUUAAAGUAUUUCUCCCACUCUGCUCCUUGGAGUUGGGGAAAACAGGUGGGGGAAGAAGGAAG